rnacentral:misc_RNA from 1 species
GAUGAAGAACGUAGUGAAAUGCGAUAAGUAAUGUGAAUUGCAGAAUUCAGUGAAUCAUCUAAUCUUUGAACGCACAUUGCGCCCUCUGGUAUUCCGGAGGGCAUGCCUGUUCGAGCGUCAUUUCACCACUCAAGCCUGGCUUGGUAUUGGGCGUCGCGGUCCGCCGCGCGCCUUAAAGUCUUCCGGCUGAGCUGUCCGUCUCCAAGCGUUGUGGAAUCAACUAAUUCGCUUCGGGGUACGGGUGGACGCGGCCGUUAAAUCUUUUCUAAAGGUUGACCUCGGAUCAGGUAGGGAUACCCGCUGAACUUAAGCAUAUCAAUAAGCGGAGGA